GACAGAGGUGCCAAGCGUUAGGCGGAAUCACUGGGCUUAAAGCGUGUGUAGGCGGAACGUUAAGUGCCUUGUGAAAUCCCACGGCUCAACCGUGGAACUGCUGGGCAUACUGGCGUUCUUGAGCCAAUCAGGGGUCGCCGGAACAAACGGUGGAGCGGUGAGAUGCGUAGAUAUCGUUUGGAACGCCGAAGGCGAAAGCAGGCGACUUGGAUUGCGCUGACGCUGAGACACGAAAGCCAGGGGAGCGAACGGG
rnacentral:rRNA from 1 species